UGGGGAAUAUUGGACAAUGGGCGCAAGCCUGAUCCAGCCAUGCCGCGUGAGUGAUGAAGGCCUUAGGGUUGUAAAGCUCUUUCGCCGGUGAAGAUAAUGACGGUAACCGGAGAAGAAGCCCCGGCUAACUUCGUGCCAGCAGCCGCGGUAAUACGAAGGGGGCUAGCGUUGCUCGGAAUCACCGGGCGUAAAGCGCACGUAGGCGGAUCGUUAAGUCAGGGGUGAAAUCCUGGAGCUCAACUCCAGAACUGCCCUUGAUACUGGCGAUCUCGAGUUCGAGAGAGGUUGGUGGAACUCCGAGUGUAGAGGUGAAAUUCGUAGAUAUUCGGAAGAACACCAGUGGCGAAGGCGGCCAACUGGCUCGAUACUGACGCUGAGGUGCGAAAGCGUGGGGAGCAAAACAGGAUUAGAUACCCUGGUAGUCCACGCCGUAAACGAUGGAUGCUAGCCGUUGGGGGGUUUACCUCUCAGUGGCGCAGCUAACGCCUUAAGCAUCCCGCCUGGGGAGUACGGUCGCAAGAUUAAAAACUCAAAUGAAUUGAC
rnacentral:rRNA from 1 species